CUGACCAUGAGAGAAUUCGUUCGAAACUACGAUGCAAAUACACCGAUUGCCUGAAUUAUGGAUGUACGAAGCCCCGCGUCCAUUCCUGCUGCAGGGUGAGAGAUAAGAAUUCGAUAUAGAGCAAGAAGUAGACGUGGAGGUACACCGCCAUUGUGCAGAGGGAGGAUCAUUCUCUCUUUGGCUACCGGGUCGCCGAAACCUUAUUGCGCCAUAUAACAGGGCCAUAUGGAGGGGCGAGCUGUUUGUUUUGACGAAAAACGUGCGAUGUUACACACACCCUCAUAUCCACACACAUACGUACACAACUGACAAGUGCUUUUCAUCCACAUCCACAUUAACAUCGAUCACCGCG